rnacentral:rRNA from 1 species
GCCUACGGGGGGCAGCAGUCGAGAAUCAUCCACAAUGGGGGAAACCCUGAUGGUGCGACGCCGCGUGGGGGAAUGAAGGUCUUCGGAUUGUAAACCCCUGUCAUGUGGGAGCAAAUUAAAAAGAUAGUACCACAAGAGGAAGAGACGGCUAACUCUGUGCCAGCAGCCGCGGUAAUACAGAGGUCUCAAGCGUUGUUCGGAAUCACUGGGCGUAAAGCGUGCGUAGGCUGUUUCGUAAGUCGUGUGUGAAAGGCGCGGGCUCAACCCGCGGACGGCACAUGAUACUGCGAGACUAGAGUAAUGGG